rnacentral:rRNA from 1 species
GAAAGUUGUUCGUGAGUCUCUCGAAUUUUCGCAACACGAUGAUGAAUCGAAAGAAACAUCUUCGGGUUGUGAGGUUAAGCGACUAAGCGUACACGGUGGAUGCCCUGGCAGUCAGAGGCGAUGAAGGACGUGCUAAUCUGCGAUAAGCGUCGGUAAGGUGAUAUGAACCGUUAUAACCGGCGAUUUCCGAAUGGGGAAACCCAGUGUGUUUCGACACACUAUCAUUAACUGAAUCCAUAGGUUAAUGAGGCGAACCGGGGGAACUGAAACAUCUAAGUACCCCGAGGAAAAGAAAUCAACCGAGAUUCCCCCAGUAGCGGCGAGCGAACGGGGAGGAGCCCAGAGCCUGAAUCAGUGUGUGUGUUAGUGGAAGCGUCUGGAAAGGCGCGCGAUACAGGGUGACAGCCCCGUACACAAAAAUACACAUAUUGUGAGCUCGAUGAGUAGGGCGGGACACGUGGUAUCCUGUCUGAAUAUGGGGGGACCAUCCUCCAAGGCUAAAUACUCCUGACUGACCGAUAGUGAACCAGUACCGUGAGGGAAAGGCNGUGAGACAGGUGCUGCAUGGCUGUCGUCAGCUCGUGUUGUGAAAUGUUGGGUUAAGUCCCGCAACGAGCGCAACCCUUAUCCUUUGUUGCCAGCGGUCCGGCCGGGAACUCAAAGGAGACUGCCAGUGAUAAACUGGAGGAAGGUGGGGAUGACGUCAAGUCAUCAUGGCCCUUACGACCAGGGCUACACACGUGCUACAAUGGCGCAUACAAAGAGAAGCGACCUCGCGAGAGCAAGCGGACCUCAUAAAGUGCGUCGUAGUCCGGAUUGGAGUCUGCAACUCGACUCCAUGAAGUCGGAAUCGCUAGUAAUCGUGGAUCAGAAUGCCACGGUGAAUACGUUCCCGGGCCUUGUACACACCGCCCGUCACACCAUGGGAGUGGGUUGCAAAAGAAGUAGGUAGCUUAACCUUCGGGAGGGCGCUUACCACUUUGUGAUUCAUGACUGGGGUGAAGUCGUAACAAGGUAACCGUAGGGGAACCUGCGGUUG